UACGUAGGUGGCGAGCGUUGUCCGGAUUACUGGGCGUAAAGAGCGCGCAGGCGGUCGUACAAGUCGCGUGUGAAAGCCCCCGGCUCAACUGGGGAGGGUCACGCGACACUGUUCGACUCGAAGGCAGGAGAGGGAAGCGGAAUUCCCGGUGUAGAGGUGAAAUUCGUAGAUAUCGGGAGGAACACCGGUGGCGAAGGCGGCGAUCUGGGUCGAUACUGACGCUGAGGUGCGAAAGCGUGGGGAGCAAACAGG
rnacentral:rRNA from 1 species